rnacentral:lncRNA from 7 species
CUUCCUUUUUUGUUUCAGCUGUCUUUACUUUCGGUCACGCAGCUAACGCUACACGCUUGCUCCCUUCUGCUUCCCGCCAACAAUUCCUGGUGGCCCGCAAAUACCAUCCAAAUCAGGAGCUCAAGGCUGCCACAUUUCUCCCAGAUUUCCGCACCGCAUCCAACGAGUAUAACAGCUUUGGCAUGCGACCUCGUGUUCGGCUUCCAACCGAUCAAAUUGUUAACAAGAACGUUU